rnacentral:rRNA from 1 species
GACGAACGCUGGCGGCGUGCCUAAUACAUGCAAGUUGAGCGCUGAAGGUUGGUACUUGUACCAACUGGAUGAGCAGCUAACGGGUGAGUAACGCGUGGGGAAUCUGCCUUUGAGCGGGGGACAACAUUAGGAAACGAAUGCUAAUACCGCAUAAAAACUUUAAACACAAGUUUUAAGUUUGAAAGAUGCAAUUGCAUCACUCAAAGAUGAUCCCGCGUUGUAUUAGCUAGUUGGUGAGGUAAAGGCUCACCAAGGCGAUGAUACAUAGCCGACCUGAGAGGGUGGUCGGCCACAUUGGGACUGCGACACGGCCCAAACUCCUACGGGAGGCAGCAGUAGGGAAUCUUCGGCAAUGGACGAAAGUCUGACCGAGCAACGCCGCGUGAGUGAAGAAGGUUUUCGGAUCGUAAAACUCUGUUGGUAGAGAAGAACGUUGGUGAGAGUGGAAAGCUCAUCAAGUGACGGUAACUACCCAGAAAGGGACGGCUAACUACGUG